rnacentral:tRNA from 1 species
GCCGCCGUAGCUCAGUUCGGUAGAGCGGCUGGCUGUUAACCAGUCGGAACAAGGAGAAAAAACUCCUGUUGAAAAUCCUACCGGCGGCG